rnacentral:rRNA from 1 species
AGUGAACGCUGGCGGUAGGCCUAACACAUGCAAGUCGAACGGCAGCACAGUAAGAGCUUGCUCUUACGGGUGGCGAGUGGCGGACGGGUGAGGAAUACAUCGGAAUCUACUUUUUCGUGGGGGAUAACGUAGGGAAACUUACGCUAAUACCGCAUACGACCUACGGGUGAAAGCAGGGGAUCUUCGGACCUUGCGCGAUUGAAUGAGCCGAUGUCGGAUUAGCUAGUUGGCGGGGUAAAGGCCCACCAAGGCGACGAUCCGUAGCUGGUCUGAGAGGAUGAUCAGCCACACUGGAACUGAGACACGGUCCAGACUCCUACGGGAGGCAGCAGUGGGGAAUAUUCGACAAUGGGCGAAAGCCUGAUCCAGCCAUACCGCGUGGGUGAAGAAGGCCUUCGGGUUGUAAAGCCCUUUUGUUGGGAAAGAAAAGCAGCAGGUUAAUACCCAGCUGUUCUGACGGUACCCAACGAAUAAGCACCGGCUAACUUCGUG